CUCAAAGCUGUCAAGAGGCGUUAAAACAAUUGAUUCAAAAUGUUGUCAAACUACAAUAUAAUCAAAGGUAAAAUGGAGGCCAUGACAUGAAAUGUCCGUCUGUACCAUUAUCUGGUAAAUAUCUUCAUUCAUGAAGGAUUGAGACUGACUUGCAAUGAAGAGGUUUUCAAGCAAGAAAUGAAUGAUUUCAUGGAAGAUGUGUACAAGGGCCACAAGUGGGAUUUCUCUGAGUGGCAGUCUCGGCUUGCCACAAAGACGUCCCACCCAGACGACAACAGUGAGUGGCUGAAAAAGGAGGAGACCAAGAAUUUCCAUGAGCAGUUUGCCCUCAAUAGGAAACUUGUG